GACGAACGCUGGCGGCGUGCUUAACACAUGCAAGUCGAACGGAAAGGCCCUGCUUUUGUGGGGUUCUCGAGUGGCGAACGGGUGAGUAUCACGUGUGUAACCUGCCCUUGACUUUGGGAUAACUUCAGGAAACUGGGGCUCAUACCGGAUAGGAGCUCCUGCUGCAUGGUGGGGGUUGGAAAGUUUCGGCGGUUGGGGAUGGACUCGCGGCUUACCAGCUUGUUGGUGGGGUAGUGGCUUACCAAGGGUUUGACGGGUAGCCGGCCUGAGAGGGUGACCGGCCACAUUGGGACUGAGAUACGGCCCAGACUCGUACGGGAGGCAGCAGUGGGGAAUAUUGCACAAUGGGCGGAAGCCUGAUGCAGCAACGCCGCGUGCGGGAUGACGGCCUUCGGGUUGUAAACCGCUUUCGCCUGUGACGAAGCGUGAGUGACGGUAAUGGGUAAAGAAGCACCGGCUAACUACGUG
rnacentral:rRNA from 1 species